rnacentral:lncRNA from 1 species
GUAUGUAGUUUCCCCUACCUGGCAAAGCAAGAGCUGUUAAAACUAUUCUCCUCAUUUCUCUCACUUUCCCGGAAUGGAAACUCCAGCCCCCAUUUCAAUUGUCUACACAUCAUUUCCACAGGUAGCUCCACUUACAGUGACUUCCAUCCCCAAAGACCUACUUCUGUGCACAUUCCCCGCUUUUGCCACCAUUCAAUUCUGAGGAGAGAAAGAAGCCCUGGUCUAUAAUAUGAGAUACCAGUUUGGGACACACCUCAUUUGAUUUCAUUUAUAUGACAUUUUGACUAUGCAGAUUUUUGGUUUGAUGCAAUUGGUGGAUUAGUCUUUCCUUUGUGGCCUCUAAAUUUUGUGUCAUAA